GAGCUUAUAACCUUGGCCGAAAGGCCUGGGCAAUCUUGUUAACGCGCAUCGUGAUAGGGAUAGAUGAUUGUAAUUAUUCAUCUUGAACGAGGAAUUCCUAGUAAUCGCAGAUCAUCAAUCUGCAGUGAUUACGUCCCUGCCCUU
rnacentral:rRNA from 1 species